rnacentral:misc_RNA from 1 species
GCCUUUUCAGUUUUUAUUUCACCGCAUCUUGUCUGUCUUUGACAUCAAGAAAACCAAAGAAAGGUCUGACAUCAUGCGGCGUCGUUUGCUUCAUCUUGUGUAUGGAAUGGAUCAACGGUGUGUCGGCAAAUCUUGGGCCCAUCAGAGUUCAGCUUGAUCUAAUUGAUUGUUUAGUAGAACGACAUGUUUUUUGUGUAAAAUCGAAACCAGGCAUGCCGUUUAAGGUUCAACAAAUUUCAACGACU